AUUGGGACUGAGAUACGGCCCAGACUCCUACGGGAGGCAGCAGUGGGGAAUAUUGCACAAUGGGCGCAAGCCUGAUGCAGCGACGCCGCGUGAGGGAUGGAGGCCUUCGGGUUGUAAACCUCUUUUAUCGGGGAGCAAGCGUGAGUGAGUUUACCCGUUGAAUAAGCACCGGCUAACUACGUGCCAGCAGCCGCGGUAAUACGUAGGGUGCAAGCGUUAUCCGGAAUUAUUGGGCGUAAAGGGCUCGUAGGCGGUUCGUCGCGUCCGGUGUGAAAGUCCAUCGCUUAACGGUGGAUCCGCGCCGGGUACGGGCGGGCUUGAGUGCGGUAGGGGAGACUGGAAUUCCCGGUGUAACGGUGGAAUGUGUAGAUAUCGGGAAGAACACCAAUGGCGAAGGCAGGUCUCUGGGCCGUUACUGACGCUGAGGAGCGAAAGCGUGGGGAGCGAACAGGAUUAGAUACCCUGGUAGUCCACGCCGUAAACGGUGGAUGCUGGAUGUGGGGCCCGUUCCACGGGUUCCGUGUCGGAGCUAACGCGUUAAGCAUCCCGCCUGGGGAGUACGGCCGCAAGGCUAAAACUCAAAGAAAUUGACGAGGGCCCGCACAAGCGGCGGAGCAUGCGGAUUAAUUCGAUGCAACGCGAAGAACCUUACCUGGGCUUGACAUGUUCCCGACGGCCGUAGAGAUGCGGCUUCCCUUCGGGGCGGGUUCACAGGUGGUGCAUGGUCGUCGUCAGCUCGUGUCGUGAGAUGUUGGGUUAAGUCCCGCAACGAGCGCAACCC
rnacentral:rRNA from 1 species